UUGCCCAUUUGAGACCGACUGUGUCUUUAAGUGGCCAACACAGAAGGGUAAAUAAUUUUCUCUCAAAAACCCAAAGUAAAAGGUUUGUCAGUGCUUUGGAUCCUGUCGGGAGAAACAUUU